GCUCCGUCUAGGACUGAGGACACAGAAGCACUGAUCGUUCUAAAGCCACACUUUCUGUUCAAGUCCAAACAUAAACUUCUUUUGUUUCCAUAAAGAAGGCGGUAGCAUUCUAAGAUACACAGAGGAGCAAGGAAUCCCAUCAUAUCCAUGUUAUUUCCUAACUGCGUAUAUUGAAAAUAAUGAAAUAGAAGAAAAGUGAAAGCUCAAGUUCACCAGAAUGCUCAUGGGACCUGUAAUUACAGUGACUCAUCCCUAAAAAAGUUAUUGUGAGUAGUCACUGUUCCUACGAUAAUGCAAUGGUUUUGCUUAUAAAAUUUCCCUGAAGUUAAACCAACUUAGAGGUGGUGAGUUUGGAUGCAGAAAUUAUUACAUCAGGAUGAUAGAAAUCAUAUAGGCAAUUGCAAAAUUGUCUUUCUGAAGAGGGAGAAUAAACUAGAAUGGUUAUGGAAGGAAAAUCCCUCAAGAACAGCAGAGGAUCAAGAACCCAUGGGGAGAAAUGCUUCCAAAAUGAAAUGCUUGAUAUAAUAAAAGAAGAGCAAUGCUAUCCAUAUGACUAUGAUGUGAACUUAAUCAAGAGGAUAAAAGUCUCCAAAUUGUAAUUACAGAUGAAUUACUCCACGGCUUGCGAUUUUCAAGAGGAAUCUUGUUUCUAAAUCUUGACACAGUGGGACCAAAGAAACCUAUCUGUUUCUAUUACUGGGAAAAAAGUGAAUCUCAAAAUGAAAAACAAUCUGCGGCUUCAAAGAGAGAGAGCUGACAGCAAAAUAUUUGAAUUAAUUAGAGAACUACAGGUUGUUCAUUGACGGGUUCUUUUUGCAGGCAUAUUCUGAAACAUCUGUGCUUGUUUCCACGGAGAUGUGGUUGGUUUAUUUUGUUGUUAAUAUACCAUAUGAGCAUGAAGGAAAUUAGAGGAAGCUACCUGAUGGAAAACUAAAUUUAGACAUUUCCAGACAGUCUGAGAGAAGUUACAACCUCCUGGGCCAGGCAGAGGAUAGUUCAAUUCCUUGAUGAACUAUGCCAAGUUAAAUGAACAUCAGCUAUUUUUAGAACACUGACAGCCUUCUUAGACAUGACACCAAAGAAUAUUAGUUUUGAGGUCCACUGGACGGCAUGCUCAGGUCUGAAGAGUUCCAAAAAAUAAAAAUAAAUUCACCCAUUUCUAAAUUUUAAAAAAUAAUAAUGAUUUUCCUAAAGGGGCCAGCUCUGACUCUAAACACCUUCUUUGAAAGGCUCAAGUGUCCAAGGGUUGGUUUUCUUGUAUAGGAUUUCUACUGUUUCUCUCAAGGCCAUGUUCUCUGUUAUUGUUCUCAUAUUUUCCCCUACAGCAGAGAGGUCCUUAUGUACCAUGGGUUAAUAUUUUUUUCCUAAAUUUAUUUUAGGGUGGAAAAGAGAAAUAAAGAACUCUAACUGCUUCUAAUUUGCUUUUGUUUCAUCUUCUUUCUUCCUGUUGCAAUCUCUCUUUUCACUAACUCUACCUCGUUAAGCUUUGUCCAUUUGGUAGUUCUAUUUUUAAUUUUCCAAAAAUCAUCCAUACUGUUUUCUGAAAGUUCUGUACCAAUUUACAUUUCCACCAACAGAGUACAAGGGUUCCCUUUUCUCCACACCAUUGCCAACACUUACCUUUUGGCUUUUUGAUAGUAGCCAUUCUAACAGGCAUGAGGUGAUAUGUCAUUGUGAUUUUGAUUUACAUUUCCCUAAUGAUUGAUGAUAUUCAUCAUCUUUUCAUGUAUCUGUUGGCUAUUUUUGGUCUUCUUUGUGAAAAUGUCUAUUCAUGUCCUUUGCCCAUUUUUAACUUGAGUUAUUUGGGGUGUUUUUUGUUUAUUUUUGUUACUUGUUUUUGCAAUUAAGUUUUAUGAGUUGCUUAUAUAUUUGGGAUAUUAACACCUUACUGGAUAUAUGGUUUACAAAUAUUUUCUUUUUUCUGUAGGUUGCCUUUUUGUUUCUUCAUUGUUUCAUUUGCUGUACAGAAGUUUUUAGUUUGAUGUAGUCCUGUUUAUUUUUGCUUUUAUUUUCUGUACUUUUGAGAUCAAAUCUAAAAAAUCAUUGCCAAGACCAAUGUCAAAGAGCUUUUCCUUCAUGUUUUCUUCUGGGAGUGUCAUGGUUUCAGGUCUUACAUGUAAGUCUUUAAACCAUUUUGAAUUCAUUUCUGUGUAUGAUAUAAGAGAAAGAUCUGAUUUUAAGGUUUGCUUGUCAAUAUCAAGUUUUUCCAACACCAUUUAUUAAAGAGUCUAUACUUUCCUCCAUUGUAUAUUAUUGGAACCUUUGUCAAAAAUUAGUUGAGCAUAUAUGAACGGGUUUGUUCUGGGCUAUUAGGUUCCACUAGUCUAUGUCAAGGCAGCCAAGAUCUUUUUCCUUCACAACAUUCAGAGUUGAAGGGAAUGAAACAUUAAGUCCUGUCAUUUGGCAUGUUCAUUUAAAUUUCAACGUAUUUCAGAAUUUCAUAGUCUCAUCGUUGGGCUAUCAAGCCUACAUCCCCAUAACAUCAUUUAUUUAUAUCAUUAGCCCAUAUAAAUCUGCUGUUCCAAGCAGAACACAUUGUUAGUUCUAGAAUUUUCCAUGAGAUGGGCAGGUACCUACAGAUGCUAGACACUUUUGGGUUGUUUUACAUCUAAUUAGCAACAGAAUUAUGACACCAAAUUAAUUUCAGGAACUGCUCUUGAAAUGCCAAUAUACAUAAGGUUUUAAGAAUUUGAUACUGUGCAAGUUAGAGAAACAGAUGGAACUUUCUGAACAAUAGAAUUCGUCUCCAAGUGACAUUUAAUAUAAAGCAAUACCUGAAUUAUAAAUGGCUUUAAAGUUAUUAUCUUUGAAUUGUUUUCCUUUCAAACACCUACCACGCAGGUGAAAGAAAAAAA
rnacentral:lncRNA from 10 species